rnacentral:rRNA from 1 species
UACGGAGGGGGGCUAGCGUUGUUCGGAAUUACUGGGCGUAAAGCGCACGUAGGCGGCUUUGUAAGUUAGAGGUGAAAGCCCAGGGCUUAACCCUGGAAUUGCCUUUAAGACUGCAUCGCUAGAAUCGUGGAGAGGUGAGUGGAAUUCCGAGUGUAGAGGUGAAAUUCGUAGAUAUCAAGCGGAACACCGGUGGCGAAGGCGGCCUUCUGGACAGUGACUGAC